CUGACGAGUGGCGGACGGGUGAGUAAUGCUUGGGAAUCUGGCUUAUGGAGGGGGAUAACGACGGGAAACUGUCGCUAAUACCGCGUAGUGUCGAGAGACGAAAGUGCGGGACCGCAAGGCCGCAUGCCAUGAGAUGAGCCCAAGUGGGAUUAGGUAGUUGGUGGGGUAAAGGCCUACCAAGCCUGCGAUCUCUAGCUGGUCUGAGAGGAUGACCAGCCACACUGGAACUGAGACACGGUCCAGACUCCUACGGGAGGCAGCAGUGGGGAAUAUUGCGCAAUGGGGGGAACCCUGACGCAGCCAUGCCGCGUGAAUGAAGAAGGCCUUCGGGUUGUAAAGUUCUUUCGGUAUUGAGGAAGGAGGAUAUGUUAAUAGCAUACAUUAUUGACGUUAAAUACAGAAGAAGCACCGGCUAACUCCGUGCCAGCAGCCGCGGUAAUACGGAGGGUGCGAGCGUUAAUCGGAAUAACUGGGCGUAAAGGGCACGCAGGCGGUUAUUUAAGUGAGGUGUGAAAGCCCCGGGCUUAACCUGGGAAUUGCAUUUCAGACUGGGUAACUAGAGUACUUUAGGGAGGGGUAGAAUUCCACGUGUAGCGGU
rnacentral:rRNA from 1 species